rnacentral:rRNA from 1 species
AUACGGAGGGGGCUAGCGUUGUUCGGAAUUACUGGGCGUAAAGCGUCCGCAGGCGGAUAAUUAAGUUAGAGGUGAAAUCCCAGGGCUCAACCCCGGAACUGCCUUUAAAACUGGUUAUCUAGAGUUAUGGAGAGGUAAGUGGAAUUCCUAGUGUAGAGGUGAAAUUCGUAGAUAUUAGGAGGAACACCAGAGGCGAAGGCGGCUUACUGGACAUAUACUGACGCUGAGGGACGAAAGUGUGGGGAGCGAACGGGAUUAGAAACCCUAGUAGUCC